UUUUGGGUUUAGUGAUAGCAUUUUUGGGUUUAGUAUUCAAAAGUUAGGUCUGAGUUUAGCAUUGAGGAGUUUUGUUUGGAUUUAGUUUAAUAUUAUAUAAUAUUAUAUACUAUUUUCAGAUUUUUAUAAUUGGGUUUAAGGUUUAUAUUUGGGUUUAGGGUUCAGUAAUUAGGGUUUAAAGUUUAGUAUUUAGAUGGAAGGGUGAUGUUUAAAGUUUAGGGUUUAUUAUUUUGGAGUUGAGGUUUGGAUUAAAGUUUAGUAUUUACUAAGUGUGAGUGGAUUUUGAAUCCUAUUAUUUUUAGUAAUAUAGUAUAGAAAAAUUAGAUGUAUAUUUAUGUGUUAAAUAAAAGUGUGGUGUUGAUUGAAUUACGUGUGAUAAUUAAUUGUGGGGUGUCAAAUUGUUGAUGUCAUCAGUUUCUCUCUCUAUUACUGGCAACUUGAACAAAAAAAAGGUAUUACCGGAUAGAAGUUGACAUAAUUGUUAUGGGCUUUAUUAUGUCAAAAUCAAUGCU
rnacentral:lncRNA from 1 species